rnacentral:sRNA from 1 species
UCAUGUCUGCGAUAGCCUUUUAGACGUCAACACCAAGGAUGAUCCAGCUCUGUCGGAGGCACGUAGGCACAGCCAAAUCUCAUGCUGUACAUUGAUCACCUGUCCAACCUUUGCCUAGAGUGGGAGCCCCCAGUUCCUUCGAGAUCCAACAUUACCUGUCUGUAAAGAAGAAGAGGAGGAGGGAGACAGCGGGGAGGAUCCGGUGGCAGUUUAACACCAGAGCAGGUCCAAUGUUUACUUUUACCCUUUUGGAGCUAUCAGAAGGGCUGAAUAAAGGGAACAUGCAGCUCUGCAGCAAUAUUCUGAUAAUCUAUUGCAGUGCGGCUCACAUCACUGUCCACCACCACCUGGAGCGGCUCAUCAGAACUGAAAGGGAGUUUUCACUUACCUUAUUGAGCGUGAUUCUGUUCUACUUGAUAUUUCCUUCACCACCUCAUGUCAUUUCUCAUGGAUUUGGUUAUGAUGGAAAGGAAGAAUGCAGAGGAGGAGAAAAGUGACAGAUCCUCCAUUUUUGUUGGGAUGCGGGCAUUUUGAAUGUGAUCAUCUUUGCUGAAUGUCAUUAUUUGAUAAUAUUUUGUUUAUGUUACUUAAACAUCAUUGAAUAAAUUUGAACUCCAUGGGAUUUUAUCUGUGGAUUCAGCUUCUGUUGGACAACUAGCCUCAUCUCCAGUAUCCUGCUGGUUCAGUCUAAUUGGUCUUUCCUGAUGCAUUAGAUUAUCAAAAAGUAUAAAUUCGCUGUGAGUGAGUGGUGUUGGCAGUGUUUAUAUAUCAUGAUGCAUGGAGUGUUUGACGAAGAAACAAAAAACACCAAAAAUUGCGAGCCUUUACCCUCCUCUAUUUCUUUAAUCUGUUGUUUGAAGAACCGCAUUUUGAGGGUGUAACCAGUAGUCACCUCUGGGCCAGGUUGGAAAUGAAAUCAAUUUUUUAAACCACUAAUACUUGCCAAGAAAUCGCCUUAUGAGAACAUG